rnacentral:SRP_RNA from 1 species
AUUUUAGUGGUGUGCACCUCUAGUCCCAGCUACUCAAGAGGUCGAGGUGGGAGAUGGAGUCUGGGAGUUCUGGGCUGUAGUGCUCUAUGCCAGUCAAGUGUCCACACUAAGUUUGGCAUCAAUAUGGUGACCUCCUGGGAGCAGGGGGCCACCAGAUUGGCUAAGGAGGGGUGAACCGGCCCAGGUUGGAAAGAGCAGGUCAAAACUCUCAUACCAAUCAAUAGUGGAAUUGUGCCUAUGAACAGCCACUGUAUUCCAACCUGGGCAGCAUAGCGAGACCCUGUCUCU